UACGGGAGGCAGCAGUGGGGAAUAUUGCACAAUGGGCGAAAGCCUGAUGCAGCUAUGCCGCGUGUAUGAAGAAGGCCUUAGGGUUGUAAAGUACUUUCAUCGGGGAGGAAAAAACAAAACUAAUAAUUUUAUUUCUUGACGUUACCCGAAAAAGAAGCACCGGCUAACUCCGUGCCAGCAGCCGCGGUAAUACGGAGGGUGCUAGCGUUAAUCAGAAUUACUGGGCGUAAAAGAGCACGUAGGUGGUUUUUUUAAGUCAGAUGUGAAAUCCCUGGGCUUAACCUAGGAACUGCAUUUUGAAACUGAAAUACUAGAGUAUCGUAGAGGGAGGUAGAAUUCUAGGUGUAGCGGUGAAAUGCGUAGAUAUCUGGAGGAAUACCUGUGGCGAAAGCGGCCUCCUAAACGAAUACUGACACUGAGGUGCGAAAGCGUGGGGAGCAAACAGGGAUUAGAUACC
rnacentral:rRNA from 1 species